rnacentral:tRNA from 1 species
GCCGGCUUAGCUCAGUUGGUAGAGCAGCAGUUUUGUAAACUGACGGUCACGGGUUCAAGUCCUGUAGCCGGCACCA